GGCUGUCUCCGGCUGUGGCGGCUUGGCUGGCAGCUUAAGGCUCGUGGCCAUGGAAUGGGGUUUGGAGUCGGCGGCCGUGAGGCGGCACCGUGUUGGAGCGGAGCGCCGGGAUGGCCGUGGGGCCACCUCACUAUGGGAGAGAGAGGCCCCGGCGGCGCAGGAGCCCUUGGUGGACGCGUGCAGCGGCGGCGCGAGGACGCGGAAGCGCAGCGCGGCGGGUAGUGGCGGCGCGAGUCGGGCUGCGGGGACGGGACUGUCCGAGGCGCGCGCUGCGCUGGGGCUGGCGCUCUACCUGCUAGUGCUGCGGACGCUCGUGCAGCUUUCGCUGCAGCAGCUCGUGCUGCGUGGAGCCGCUGGGCACCACGGGGAGUUUGACGCUCGCCAAGCGAGGGAUUAUUUGGAACACAUAACAUCUGUUGGUCCCAGGACUACAGGAAGUCCAGAAAAUGAAAUUCUGACAGUGCAUUACCUUUUGGAACAGAUUAAAUUGAUUGAAGUUCAAAGCAACAGCCUUCACAAGAUUACAGUAGACGUACAACGGCCUACAGGUUCCUUUAGCAUCGACUUCUUAGGAGGUUUCACAAGUUACUAUGACAAUAUCACCAACGUUGUGGUAAAGCUGGAACCCAGAGAUGGAGCCCAGCAUGCUGUCCUGGCUAACUGUCAUUUUGACUCAGUGGCAAACUCACCAGGUGCCAGUGAUGAUGCAGUUAGCUGUUCGGUGAUGCUGGAAGUCCUUCGCGUCUUGUCAGCAUCUUCAGAAGCCUUACAUCAUGCUGUCAUAUUUCUCUUCAAUGGUGCUGAGGAAAAUGUCUUGCAGGCCAGUCAUGGUUUCAUUACUCAGCACCCCUGGGCCAGCUUGAUUCGGGCAUUUAUUAACCUGGAGGCAGCAGGUGUAGGAGGGAAAGAACUUGUAUUCCAGACAGGUCCUGAAAAUCCCUGGUUGGUCCAAGCUUAUGUUUCCACAGCUAAACACCCUUUUGCCUCUGUGGUUGCUCAGGAGGUUUUCCAGAGUGGAAUUAUUCCUUCAGAUACUGACUUCCGUAUCUACAGGGAUUUUGGGAACAUUCCAGGAAUAGACUUAGCUUUUAUUGAGAAUGGAUACAUUUACCACACCAAGUAUGACACAGCGGACAGAAUUCUAACAGAUUCCAUUCAGAGAGCCGGCGACAACAUUUUAGCAGUUCUUAAAUACUUAGCUACAUCUGAUACGUUGGUUUCUUCUUCUGAGUAUCGACAUGGGAACAUGGUCUUCUUUGAUGUACUCGGCCUGUUUGUCAUUGCCUACCCAUCUCGCGUUGGAUCGAUAAUUAACUGCAUGGUGGUAAUGAUGGUUGUUUUGUAUCUGGGCAAAAAAUUGUUGCAGCCCAAACAUAAGACGGCUAACUACACGAAGGACUUCUUCUGUGGAGUGGGCAUCACCCUGAUAAGCUGGUUCACUAGCCUGGUGACUGUGCUCAUUAUAGCAGUGUUCAUCUCUCUGAUUGGACAGUCUCUCUCAUGGUACAACCACUUCUAUGUCUCCGUUUGUCUUUAUGGAACUGCAGCGGCAGCCAAAAUAAUAUUCAUACAUACUCUUGCAAAAAGAUUUUAUUAUGUGAAUGCCAGUGACCAAUACCUGGGAGAAGUCUUUUUUGACAUCUCGCUGUUUGUGCAUUGUGGUUCCCUUAUAGCUCUCACUUACGGAGGAUUUUGCUCAGCAUUUCUCAGUACUGUCUGGGUGGCGUUUCCAUUGCUCACAAAGCUUUGCGUGCACAAGGACUUUAAGCAGCAUGGUGCCCAAGGAAAAUUUAUUGCCUUUUACCUUCUCGGGAUGUUUAUUCCUUAUCUUUAUGCAUUGUACCUCAUCUGGGCGGUAUUUGAGAUGUUUACCCCCAUCCUUGGGAGGAGUGGUUCGGAAAUUCCACCUGAUGUUGUCCUGGCUUCCAUUUUGGCUGGUUGUACGAUGAUUCUCUCCUCCUAUUUUAUUAACUUCAUCUACCUUGCCAAAAGCACAAAAAAAACCAUGCUGACUUUAGCUUUGGUAUGUACAGUUACAUUCCUCCUUGUUUGCAGUGGAACUUUUUUCCCGUACAGCUCCAAUCCUGCCAGCCCGAAGCCAAAGAGAGUGUUUCUUCAGCAUAUGACUAGGACAUUUCAUGACCUGGAUGGAAACGUAGCUAAGCGGGACUCUGGAAUAUGGAUUAAUGGGUUUGAUUACACUGGAAUGUCUCACGUAACGCCUCACAUUCCGGAGAUCAAUGACACCAUCCGAGCUCACUGUGAGGAGAACGCACCCCUGUGUGGCUUCCCGUGGUACCUUCCAGUGCACUUUCUGAUCAGGAAAAACUGGUAUCUUCCUGCCCCAGAGGUUUCCCCAAGAGAUCCUGUUCAUUUCAGACUUGUCGCCAAAGAACAGACACCCUGGGAUUCUAUAAAGCUGACCUUUGAAGCAACAGGACCAAGCCAUAUGUCAUUCUAUGUUCGAACUCACAAAGGGUCAACGCUUUCUCAGUGGUCUCUUGGCAAUGGCACCCCAGUCACAAGUAAAGGAGGGGACUACUUUGUCUUUUACUCCCAUGGACUCCAAGCCUCUGCGUGGCAGUUCUGGAUAGAAGUACAGGUCUUGGAAGAACAGCCUGAGGGAAUAGUCACUGUGGCCAUCGCUGCCCACUAUCUUUCUGGGGAAGACAAGAGAUCCUCCCAGCUGGAUGUGCUGAAGGAGAAGUUUCCAGACUGGACGUUCCCCUCUGCCUGGGUGUGCACCUACGACCUCUUUGUGUUUUAAUCUUGUGGAUGAAUCCACGCCGGGGGGAUACUUCCUGUGACACGGUUUCUCCCUGUGCUACACGGAUGUUUGUAAUUGCCUGCCUGAUUUGUGACUCUUUGAAAACCUGACUGGGCCCCCACACACAGCAGGGCUACAAGCAGAGCCGAAUGGUAACAUGCUGGUUGUGACACGCAUGGACACUGGACCCAUUCCUUUUCUCUUGACUUUGUAGAAACCAUAUUUACUAGUCUCAACUGCUUCAGGUGUCUAGCUCCUACCACAUUUAUCUGUGAGGCCAGAGGAUUUCUGAAUGUGUCAGGUGGUACAUAAAGUUUGCAGUGUUUAUAGCUUGUAUAGAAUCAUAAUUAUAAAUCAGUAAUAUCGUGAAUUUCAAAAUAUAGUCAGUCCUUCAUAUCUGCAGGUUCCAUAUCCAUAGAUUCAAGUAACUAUGGAUAGAAAAAUACUUGGGGAAAAAAUGUUACGUUGUUGCUGACAUGUAGGUGGCUUCAAUGGCUGCAUCUGUUCUAAACAUGUACAAACUUUCCUCCUAGUCAUUAUUCCCUAAGCAAUACAGUAUAACAACUAUUUACGUAACAUUUACAUUGCAUUAUAUAUGAUAAGUAAUCUAGAGAUGAUUUAAAGUAAUACGGGAGGAUGGACAUAAGUUAUAUGCAACUACUACUAUACCAUUUUAUAUAAAGAAUAUGAGCAUCCAUGGAUUUUGGUAUUUGAGGGAGGUCCUGGAACCAACCCCCCCUGUGGAUUUUGAGGGAUGACUGUACAGGCAUUUUUCUGUCCCUGUGGUUAAUCUGAAAUUGAUUACUAGAAAUUUUUUAAAAGGCAAAAUCCAAGUGUUGAGGAAGAAGAGACUUCGUAUGAAACACAAAUAGUUCUGUGAUUUUUUUUUUUUUCCUUUGGGAAGAAUGUAGUUACUCCUUUUCAGUAAUAAUCAUGGUUUUCUUUUCUAAACAAUUCUAUUUUGUUUUCUUUAGCAUUAUAAAGUUUUGAUAUUAUGCAAGGUCAGUGACAAGAUGCUCACUAAUCUCUGGGCAUGCUUAAUAUCCUGGGAGAUCGUUUUAAUGCCAGAAAUGGUUAAUUACAAUAUUCAAAGCUUUGUUAGUAAGUAGUCAGUGAAGUUAAAGAACUUAUUAGGUACCCCCCCCCCCAGUAUCUGAGCAUUUGAAUAACUCAUUUCUAAAAAGGUUAUUUCCUACAGAAUUUAAAUGUUAAGUAGCACAGUACUGCACAUUCAGGGAAAGUAGGAAGAAUUGUGAUUUCAAAGAAGUUCUUUUUUAAAAUAUAGUGUCUGACCUAUGAAUGAUUGUUGCAUGAAGCAUUUGUUUCCACAGUUUAGCAGAUGUAAAUAAUAAGCAUGAUAGGAUUCCUAAAAUGUUGCCACUGAUGGGGCCAUAAACCAGCCUCCUGCCUCAGGAAGCUACAGGAAGAAGGAUUAUGUCUGUCCAUUUCUUUUCACUGGUUUGCUGAAGAUUAAUUGUUGCCUUACAAUGUUACUGAAAUAAACUUUUUAAUGUCUUAGUAUCUUUAACAGAAAAA